UGAGCACAGGUCCCAAGCCUUUUACUGCCU
rnacentral:piRNA from 1 species